rnacentral:miRNA from 2 species
AGCAAGACAGACUUACUUUUGU